UGGGGAAUAUUGCACAAUGGGGGAAACCCUGAUGCAGCAACGCCGCGUGAAGGAUGAAGGUUUUCGGAUUGUAAACUUCUUUAGUCAGGGACGAAAAAAAUGACGGUACCUGAAGAAUAAGCCACGGCUAACUACGUGCCAGCAGCCGCGGUAAUACGUAGGUGGCGAGCGUUGUCCGGAAUUACUGGGUGUAAAGGGCGUGUAGGCGGGAAUGUAAGUCAGAUGUGAAAUCCCAGGGCUUAACUCUGGAGCUGCAUCUGAAACUAUAUUUCUUGAGUGCCGGAGAGGAAAGCGGAAUUCCUAGUGUAGCGGUGAAAUGCGUAGAUAUUAGGAGGAACACCAGUGGCGAAGGCGGCUUUCUGGACGGUAACUGACGCUGAGGCGCGAAAGCGUGGGGAGCAAACA
rnacentral:rRNA from 1 species